AUGCUCAGCACCUGGUCUGUAUGGACUGUAGCAGCUACAGUCUCUUCUGGUGAGUGGACCACCUGGUCUGUAUGGACUGUAGCAGCUACAGUCUCUUCUGGUGAGUGGACCACCUGGUCUGUAUGGACUGUAGCAGCUACAGUCUCUUCUGGUGAGUGGACCACCUGGUCUGUAUGGACUGUAGCAGCUACAGUCUCUUCUGGUGAGUGGACCACCUGGUCUGUAUGGACUGUAGCAGCUACAGUCUCUUCUGGUGAGUGGACCACCUGGUCUGUAUGGACUGUAGCAGCUACAGUCUCUUCUGGUGAGUGGACCACCUGGUCUGUAUGGACUGUAGCAGCUACAGUCUCUUCUGGUGAGUGGACCACCUGGUCUGUAUGGACUGUAGCAGCUACAGUCUCUUCUGGUGAGUGGACCACCUGGUCUGUAUGGACUGUAGCAGCUACAGUCUCUUCUGGUGAGUGGACCACCUGGUCUGUAUGGACUGUAGCAGCUACAGUCUCUUCUGGUGAGUGGACCACCUGGUCUGUAUGGACUGUAGCAGCUACAGUCUCUUCUGGUGAGUGGACCACCUGGUCUGUAUGGACUGUAGCAGCUACAGUCUCUUCUGGUGAGUGGACCACCUGGUCUGUAUGGACUGUAGCAGCUACAGUCUCUUCUGGUGAGUGGACCACCUGGUCUGUAUGGACUGUAGCAGCUACAGUCUCUUCUGGUGAGUGGACCACCUGGUCUGUAUGGACUGGUGAGUGGACCACCUGGUCUGUACGGACUGGUGAGUGGACCUCCUUGUCUCUCUGUGGUUACAGGUGUGAUGACUUCGUAGUGAACGACACCAAGCCAGGACACGUGCAGAAGGUGAGAGACCAUCUACGGAUUCUGGAGAAGUGAGUAUUCAUGAGCAGGAUUACUCUACAAGGUCCUGUGUGUCAUUUGCCACCUGGGGGUGUUUUCACUAAGAACCAAAUGGGGGCAAAUUGAACAGAAUGUCGAGGGACCUGACUGAAUUUGUCCAAGCCAAACCCUAAUUUGUAUUGCGAAAAUAGUUUCUGUUGCCAAACAUUUUUUGCUAUAGUGCUUAGCGACUAAUGAAUUUUAGGCCCCGUUUUAGUCGGCUGGUCGUUUGUUUGGUCGUUCGGUCGACCGAGAUUUAUUUUAUCAUGGUGUUCAAGGCUCCUGUCUGAUUGGCUCCUGUCUGAUUGGCUCCUGUCUGAUUGGCUCCUGUCUGAGUGGACUGAUCCAUUGUGGAGGCACUAGGCACCUUUCAGCGAAAUUCUCAGUUUUUUGAAUCCCAAAUGGGGAAACGAUGUGAUUCAGGCAGAUCUGAUCUCAGAUCACAUUAAUGUAUUUUCUUUUUUUAACCCACUUUUUCAAUCUUGGCUCAUCGCUGCAACUCCCCAAUGGGCUCGGGAGAGGCGAAGCAUUUGCGAUAGUAAAAGUUUGAUAAAUGUAUUUGUUGAAAUUAAAAACCCGACGAAUUACUGGCCUUUGUGUAAUGAUUUAACUCCCAUCGCUUGUGGGACAUUUUUUAUUUUUGCAUUCACGUAUAAAUAACUGCACGAGGACAGACAGUGGCUGAGAGGCUGACUCACACGUCACAGUUACAAAUAGUAUCUAGCUAGAAAUUUUAAAAAUAUAUAUUUCUAAGAAGGAAAGUAGACAAGGAAAGUGUUCCAACGAGAGUGGACAUCAAACUAUUUCUUUAGUUUCCUUUCACCUUCAAUGUGGACAACUCUUCCACUCACCUGCAACCUGAGCUUAUCGAUCUUCAGUCUGAUUCAGUGAUUUGUUCUGAAUAUUUCUCCAAUGUUCGCUGACGAGGUUCUAUGCAUUUCUCGAUGAACAAAAACUUUCUGAAGAUUAGGAGUCGUGCUCAGAAGAUGUUUGGGCCACCGCCUCUCGCCUCUCAGUAAUGCUCUCUUACCGACUCUCGCCUCUCAGUAAUGCUCUCCUACCGCCUCUCGCCUCUCAGUAAUGCUCACCUACCGCCUCUCGCCUCUCAGUAAUGCUCACCUACCGCCUCUCGCCUCUCAGUAAUGCUCACCUACCGCCUCUCGCCUCUCAGUAAUGCUCACCUACCGCCUCUCGCCUCUCAGUAAUGCUCACCUACCGCCUCUCGCCUCUCAGUAAUGCUCACCUACCGCCUCUCGCCUCUCAGUAAUGCUCACCUACCGCCUCUCGCCUCUCAGUAAUGCUCACCUACCGCCUCUCGCCUCUCAGUAAUGCUCUCCUACCGCCUCUCGCCUCUCAGUAAUGCUCUCCUACCGCCUCUCGCCUCUCAGUAAUGCUCUCCUACCGCCUCUCGCCUCUCAGUAAUGCUCACCUACCGCCUCUCGCCUCUCAGUAAUGCUCACCUACCGCCUCUCGCCUCUCAGUAAUGCUCUCCUACCGCCUCUCGCCUCUCAGUAAUGCUCUCCUACCGCCUCUCGCCUCUCAGUAAUCCUCUCUUACCGCCUCUCGCCUCUCAGUAAUCCUCUCUUACCGACUCUCGCCUCUCAGUAAUGCUCUCCUACCGACUCUCGCCUCUCAGUAAUGCUCUCCUACCGCCUCUCAGUAAUCCUCUCUUACCGACUCUCGCCUCUCAGUAAUGCUCUCCUACCCCCUCUCGCCUCUCAGUAAUGCUCUCUUACCGCCUCUCGCUUCUCAGUAAUGCUCUCUUACCGCCUCUCGCCUCUCAGUAAUCCUCUCUUACCGCCUCUCGCCUCUCAGUAAUCCUCUCCUACCGACUCUCGCCUCUCAGUAAUCCUCUCCUACCGACUCUCGCCUCUCAGUAAUCCUCUCUUACCGACUCUCGCCUCUCAGUAAUGCUCUCCUACCGACUCUCGCCUCUCAGUAAUCCUCUCUUACCGACUCUCGCCUCUCAGUAAUCCUCUCCUACCGACUCUCGCCUCUCAGUAAUCCUCUCUUACCGACUCUCGCCUCUCAGUAAUCCUCUCCUACCGACUCUCGCCUCUCAGUAAUCCUCUCCUACCGACUCUCGCCUCUCAGUAAUCCUCUCCUACCGACUCUCGCCUCUCAGUAAUCCUCUCUUACCGACUCUCGCCUCUCAGUAAUCCUCUCCUACCGACUCUCGCCUCUCAGUAAUCCUCUCCUACCGACUCUCGCCUCUCAGUAAUCCUCUCUUACCGCCUCUCGCCUCUCAGUAAUGCUCUCCUACCGCCUCUCGCCUCUCAGUAAUGCUCUCUUACCGACUCUCGCCUCUCAGUAAUGCUCUCUUACCGACUCUCGCCUCUCAGUAAUGCUCUCUUACCGACUCUCGCCUCUCAGUAAUGCUCUCUUACCGACUCUCGCCUCUCAGUAAUGCUCUCUUACCGACUCUCGCCUCUCAGUAAUCCUCUCUUACCGACUCUCGCCUCUCAGUAAUCCUGCGCGUAGCUGGAAGCAACUCUUACUCUGUUACCGUGUGGAGCGAUGGGGACUGUGCGGAGGGUCCCUGGUUCGAGCCCAGAGAGGGGCGAGGAGAGGGAUGGAAGCAACUCUUACUCUGUUACCGUGUGGAGCGAUGGGGACUGUGCGGAGGGUCCCUGGUUCGAGCCCAGAGAGGGGCGAGUAGAGGGAUGGAAGCAACUCUUACUCUGUUACCGUGUGGAGCGAUGGGGACUGUGCGGAGGGUCCCUGGUUCGAGCCCAGGUAGGGGCGAGGAGAGGGAUGGAAGCAACUCUUACUCUGUUACCGUGUGGAGCGAUGGGGACUGUGCGGAGGGUCCCUGGUUCGAGCCCAGAGAGGGGCGAGGAGAGGGAUGGAAGCAACUCUUACUCUGUUACCGUGUGGAGCGAUGGGGACUGUGCGGAGGGUCCCUGGUUCGAGCCCAGAGAGGGGCGAGGAGAGGGAUGGAAGCAACUCUUACUCUGUUACCGUGUGGAGCGAUGGGGACUGUGCGGAGGGUCCCUGGUUCGAGCCCAGAGAGGGGCGAGGAGACGGAUGGAAGCAACUCUUACUCUGUUACCGUGUGGAGCGAUGGGGACUGUGCGGAGGGUCCCUGGUUCGAGCCCAGAGAGGGGCGAGGAGACGGAUGGAAGCAACUCUUACUCUGUUACCGUGUGGAGCGAUGGGGACUGUGCGGAGGGUCC
rnacentral:lncRNA from 8 species